AAGCAAGAAAAAAUGUGGAAUUAUAUAUUCUUUAGUAUAAGAUAAAAAUAAAAUAAAAAUGAAGGAAAUUAGGGCUUUCUUCCUCCCCCAUAUCAAAUAGAUAAUUAUCAGUGUUAUUGGGACCGGACCGGACGGUCCGACCGGUCCAACCGUUACUCGUUUGCAUAGACGACCCCGUACACCCAUAAAACCGGGAUGUCAUUCCAAGCCGUUUUGGCCCGUGGAAAAACCGGUCCAACCGGGUUAGACCGGAUAAAACCGGAAUAACCCGGUUGGUUAAACCGGCCAGCUGGAUGAAAUAAAAUAAAAAAUAGAAAUUAGGCCCUACACACUACAACCUUACCUUGCAAGUUGCAACAGUAAAAAAAAAAAGAGAACUCAAACCUAGCCGCUGCUAGCCGCCACCCUUCACCGUCAUGGUCUUCUUCUUCACCAUUGCCGUCUUCAUCCUACACCAUCGUCAUCUUCUUCAUGUCGCCGUCUUCUUCUUCACUGUCAUCAUCUUCACCCUUCACGUUGUUGUCUUCUUCCUUCACCUUAUGACUUUGCUAUCUUCUUCCUUCAUCAUCUGCAAGUUUUUCACCUUCUUCCUUCAUUGUUUUGAUUCACCUUUUGCAUCUCACUUUUAAUAGGAAACAGAAACAUUACUCUAGGUUCACGUUGCUGUUUAGGUUCAUGUUCUUCCUUCACUGUUUAGGUUCACAUUGUUGUUUAUCUUUUUGAUACUAAUACUUUGAACCAUUAGUUUAGGAAUUUAGGUGGU
rnacentral:lncRNA from 1 species